rnacentral:rRNA from 1 species
UACGAAGGGGGCUAGCGUUGUUCGGAAUCACUGGGCGUAAAGGGUGCGUAGGCGGGUCUUUAAGUCAGGGGUGAAAUCCUGGAGCUCAACUCCAGAACUGCCUUUGAUACUGAAGAUCUUGAGUUCGGGAGAGGUGAGUGGAACUGCGAGUGUAGAGGUGAAAUUCGUAGAUAUUCGCAAGAACACCAGUGGCGAAGGCGGCGACCUGGGUAGAUACUGACGCUGAGGCGCGAAAGCGUGGGGAGCAAACAGG